rnacentral:rRNA from 1 species
GACGAACGCUGGCGGCGGGCUUAACACAUGCAAGUCGAACGGAAAGGCCCUGCUUUUGUGGGGUGCUCGAGGGGCGAACGGGUGAGUAACACGUGAGUAACCUGCCCUUGACUUUGGGAUAACUUCAGGAAACUGGGGCUAAUACCGGAUAGGAGCUCCUGCUGCAUGGUGGGGGUUGGAAAGUUUCGGCGGUUGGGGAUGGACUCGCGGCUUAUCAGCUUGUUGGUGGGGUAGUGGCUUACCAAGGCUUCGACGGGUAGCCGGCCUGGGAGGUUGACCGGCCACAUUGGGACUGAGGUACGGAGCAGAGUCCUACGGGAGGCAGCAGUGGGAAAUAUUGCACAAUGGGCGGAAGCCUGAUGCGGCAACGCCGCGUGCGGGAUGACGGCCUUCGGGUUGUAAACCGCUUUCGCCUGUGACGAAGCGUGAGUGACGGUAAUGGGUAAAGAAGCACCGGCUAACUACGUG